rnacentral:rRNA from 1 species
UACAGAGGGGGCAAGCGUUAUUCGGAAUUAUUGGGCGUAAAGGGCGCGUAGGCGGCCUGGCAAGUGGAUGGUGAAAUCCCUCGGCUUAACCGGGGAACUGCCAUCCAGACUGCUUGGCUUGAGACCGGGAGAGGUGAGUGGAAUUCCCAGUGUAGCGGUGAAAUGCGUAGAUAUUGGGAGGAACACCAGUGGCGAAGGCGGCUCACUGGACCGGUACUGACGCUGAUGCGCGAAAGCGUGGGGAGCAAACAGG